UCUACUGAUCCUUUAGAUUUCCUGUUGAUCUCGGUCUCUUCUUAUCUCCUCUUUCUAGUUCUGCUCUUUUCAAUUCAGAUUCCACUUUCAAAGCUCGCUCCAGUACGUCCUCGUAGUUAUUGAAAAUAUGAGAAGACAGACGGGAUCGAAUUUCAUAUCUUAGACCUUGUUCAAAUCUGUUAGCUUUACUCCUUUCGAAUUCCAUAAGUUGGGGGCAGAAGCGGCCUAGCUCAUUAAACUUGUUAGCAUAUUCUAGCACCGUCAUAUCAUCCUUUUGCUUUAAGGCUAGAAACAUUUUAUGGUAUCAGAGCAUCUAAAUCCAAAGAUGAAAUAAUCAAAGUCUUAAAAUUCAUAAUGACUACAAUCCAUAAACAUAAACUGAAUUCCUAGUGCAAAAUUUUCAAGCUUGCUUUUUCUGAUCCCCAAGCCUAGAUUCUCUUUUCUUCGGUCCUAGCCUUAUUUCUCUGUACAUGAAAAAGAAAACAAAAAGAAUAUGAGCUACACUAGCUCAGUAAGUAGACUUCCGCUUCCUUACCGG
rnacentral:lncRNA from 1 species